UACGUAGGGUGCGAGCGUUGUCCGGAAUUAUUGGGCGUAAAGGGCUCGUAGGCGGCUUUUUAAGUCAGGGGUGAAAUCCUGGAGCUCAACUCCAGAACUGCCUUUGAUACUGAGAAGCUUGAGUCCGGGAGAGGUGAGUGGAACUGCGAGUGUAGAGGUGAAAUUCGUAGAUAUUCGCAAGAACACCAGUGGCGAAGGCGGCUCACUGGACUGGUAUUGACGCUGAGGUGCGAAAGCGUGGGGAGCAAACAGG
rnacentral:rRNA from 1 species